GCUCACUCUGGUAGCAUACUGUUUACUAAAAUUGAUACAGAGAUUAGCAUGGCCCCUGAACAAAGAUGACAUGCAAAUUCAUGAAGUGUUCCAAAUAUUU
ensembl:snRNA U6 U6 spliceosomal RNA